UACGUAGGGUGCGAGCGUUGUCCGGAAUUAUUGGGCGUAAAGAGCUCGUAGGCGGUCUGUCGCGUCGAUCGUGAAAAACUUGGGGCUUAACCCUGAGCUUGCGGUCGAUACGGGCAUGACUGGAGUUCGGCAGGGGAGACUGGAAUUCCUGGUGUAGCGGUGAAUGCGCAGAUAUCAAGGAGGAACACCGGUGGCGAAGGCGGGUCUCGUGGGCCGAUGACUGACGCUGAGGAGCGAAAGCGUGGGGAGCAAACAGG
rnacentral:rRNA from 1 species